rnacentral:pre_miRNA from 1 species
GUAGUACUCCCUCCGUCCGGAAAUAUUUGUCAUCAAAAUGAAUAAAAGGGGAUGUAUCUAGAUGUAUAUUAGUUCUAGAUACAUCUUUUUUAUCCAUUUUGAUGACAAGUAUUUUCGAACGGAGGGAGUACUUG